rnacentral:rRNA from 1 species
AAUAGAUACCCAGGUAGUCCACCCGUAAACGUUGGGAACUAGUUGUGGGGUCCUUUCCACGGAUUCCGUGACGCAGCUAACGCAUUAAGUUCCCCGCCUGGGGAGUACGGCCGCAAGGCUAAAACUCAAAGGAAUUGACGGGGACCCGCACAAGCGGCGGAGCAUGCGGAUUAAUUCGAUGCAACGCGAAGAACCUUACCAAGGCUUGACAUACACGAGAACACCCUGGAAACAGGGGACUCUUUGGACACUCGUGAACAGGUGGUGCAUGGUUGUCGUCAGCUCGUGUCGUGAGAUGUUGGGUUAAGUCCCGCAACGAGCGCAACCCUCGUUCUAUGUUGCCAGCACGUAAUGGUGGGAACUCAUGGGAUACUGCCGGGGUCAACUCGGAGGAAGGUGGGGAUGACGUCAAAUCAUCAUGCCCCUUAUGUCUUGGGCUUCACGCAUGCUACAAUGGCCGGUACAAAGGGCUGCAAUACCGUGAGGUGGAGCGAAUCCCAAAAGCCGGUCCAGUUCGGAUUGAGGUCUGCAACUCGACCUCA